AGAGUUUGAUUAUGGCUCAGGAUGAACGCUAGCGGCAGGCUUAACACAUGCAAGUCGAGGGGCAGCGGGAUGUAGCAAUACAUUGCCGGCGACCGGCGGAUGGGUGCGUAACGCGUAUGCAACCUACCUUAUACAGGGGAAUAACCUUUCGAAAGGGAGACUAACACCCCAUAGUAUUGAUUUAAGGCAUCUUAGAUUAAUUAAAUAUUUAUAGGUAUAAGAUGGGCAUGCGUAUGAUUAGCUAGUUGGUAAGGUAACGGCUUACCAAGGCGACGAUCAUUAGGGGUUCUGAGAGGAAGGUCCCCCACACUGGUACUGAGACACGGACCAGACUCCUACGGGAGGCGGCAGUGAGGAAUAUUGGUCAAUGGGCGCAAGCCUGAACCAGCCAUGCCGCGUGCAGGAAAGACGGCCUUAUGGGUUGUAAACUGCUUUUACAUAAGACUAACCGUAUAUUUGCGAAUAUACCUGAAUGUAUUAUGAGAAUAAGGAUCGGCUAACUCCGUGCCAGCAGCCGC
rnacentral:rRNA from 1 species